UUAGGAAUCUUCCACAAUGGGCGAAAGCCUGAUGGAGCGACGCCGCGUGAGGGAUGAAGGCCUUAGGGUUGUAAACCUCUAAAAGAGGGACGAUAAUGACGGUACCUCUUGAAUAGCACCGGCUGACUCCGUGCCAGCAGCCGCGGUAAUACGAAGGAUGCAAGCGUUAUCCGGAAUUAUUGGGUUUAAAGGGUGCGUAGGCGGACUAAUAAGUCAGUGGUGAAAGCCUGCAGCGUAACUGCAGAAUUGCCAUUGAUACUGUUAGUCUUGAGUACAGUUGAGGUAGGCGGAAUGUGUCAUGUAGCGGUGAAAUGCUUAGAUAUGACACAGAACACCGAUUGCGAAGGCAGCUUGCUAAGCUGUAACUGACGCUGAGGCACGAAA
rnacentral:rRNA from 1 species